GGGGGCGUUUUGGAUUCGACGGGGAUUGUUUGAGCAUGCACGGCGGGUCGUGGGGCUGCGAGGCCACGUUAAAAACGCGGACCUAAAUCUAACUGGCAAAGCUAAAAAAAGCUUCACCUCAUACGACAGCAACCUCGCCCUGGCUGCCUAAUCGCAUCCAGGCCUUCACCGGGCGUGUCGCUCGUGCACACCGUGUGAUGUCAACUUAGCGGGCUAGCCCUCGGUCAGUGUUCGCGGACCCCUGGCGAAACAUAGCGAACUCACCCGUUUGUGAGCGCGUGCGCCCGCGCGCAGCGGGAACAUCUCAGUAGACGCACUACACCCGUAGAUGUUCAUGUUACGAGGUCUUCGGACGCGGGUUCGACUCCCGUCGCCUCCACCA
rnacentral:tmRNA from 1 species